UACAGAGGUCUCAAGCGUUGUUCGGAUUCAUUGGGCGUAAAGGGUGCGUAGGUGGCGCCGUAAGUCGGGUGUGAAAUUUCGGAGCUCAACUCCGAAACUGCAUUCGAUACUGCGGUGCUUGAGGACUGGAGAGGAGACUGGAAUUCAUGGUGUAGCAGUGAAAUGCGUAGAGAUCAUGAGGAAGACCAGUGGCGAAGGCGGGUCUCUGGACAGUUCCUGACACUGAGGCACGAAGGCCAGGGGAGCAAACGGG
rnacentral:rRNA from 1 species